rnacentral:tRNA from 1 species
GCAUUGGUGGUUCAGUGGUACAGCUCUCACCUUCCAUGUGGGAUACCUGGUUCAAUUCCCAGCCAAGGCA